rnacentral:sRNA from 1 species
AGGAGUCCAUGGCAAAUGAUGUGGAUAAAGAGCUAAUGAAGCAGAUUCUCUGCCUUGUCAAUGUUAGUCACAAUGGUGUGAGUGAAUCAGAACUGAUGGAACUCUAUCCUGAGAUGUCCUGGACUUUCUUGACCUCCCUUAUUCACAGUUUAUACAAAAUGUGUUUGUUGACUUAUGGAUGUGGCUUGCUUAGGUUUCAACAUCUGCAGGCUUGGGAAACAGUGAGACUGGAGUACCUGGAAGGCCCCACUGUUACUUCUUCAUACAGGCAAAAGCUAAUCAACUAUUUCACCUUGCAGCUAAGUCAGGACAGAGUGACUUGGAGAAGUGCAGAUGAACUCCCGUGGCUUUUUCAGCAGCAGGGAAGUAAACAGAAGCUGCAUGAUUGCCUUCUUAAUCUCUUUGUGUCUCAAAACCUUUAUAAAAGGGGACACUUUGCUGAGUUGCUGAGUUAUUGGCAGUUUGUUGGCAAAGACAAAAGUGCAAUGGCAACAGAAUACUUCGAUUCAUUGAAGCAGUAUGAGAAAAACUGCGAAGGCGAGGACAACAUGAGUUGCUUAGCUGAUCUUUAUGAAACCUUGGGGCGAUUUCUCAAGGAUCUAGGCCUUCUCAGUCAGGCCAUAGUACCUUUGCAGAGGUCUUUAGAGAUUCGAGAAACAGCUUUAGAUCCCGAUCACCCAAGAGUAGCCCAGUCCCUCCACCAACUAGCAAGUGUAUACGUGCAGUGGAAGAAGUUUGGCAAUGCAGAACAACUGUAUAAACAGGCAUUGGAAAUCUCAGAAAAUGCUUAUGGUGCGGACCAUCCAUAUACUGCUCGUGAACUUGAGGCACUUGCAACUUUGUACCAGAAACAAAAUAAAUAUGAACAAGCUGAACAUUUUAGGAAAAAAUCCUUUAAAAUUCAUCAGAAAGCUAUAAAGAAAAAAGGCAACUUGUACGGAUUUGCCCUUUUACGUAGACGGGCUCUACAGUUAGAAGAGCUUACAUUAGGUAAGGACACACCUGAUAAUGCUCGGACCCUCAACGAACUGGGUGUUCUCUACUACCUUCAAAAUAACCUGGAGUGAGUACCAUGGGGUUAAUAAUGAAAAUAAUUAACCAUUUUCUCUUUGAUGCAAUGCUGUUUUACAUUUUUAUCAAGUCUAAAGCUAGAAAAAAAAUGAUAAAAACCAUGCAAAAUUUCAUGUAUGAUGUUAUAUAAUGAGCAUACACAUACCUAAAGACCAUGGCAUUUUCUCUACUGUGUUUCUUUUCACACUCUUUUUUUUUUUGAGACAGAGUCUCGCUCUGUUGCCCAGGCUGGAGUGCAGUGGCGUGAUCUCGGCUCACUGCAACUUCCACCUCCCAUUCAAGCUAUUCUCCUGCCUCAGCCUCCCGAGUAACUGGGACUACAGGCGCAUGCCACCACGCCCAACUAAUUUUUUGCAUUUUUAGUAGAGACAGGGUUUCACUGUGUUAGCCAGGAUGGUCUCGAUCUCCUGACCUCGUGAUCUGCCCGCCUUGGCUUCCCAAAGUGCUAGGAUUACAGGCGUAAGCCACCACGCCUGGCCCACAUUGUUUCUUAACUGAAAAGUUAUUCUGUAGCUUCCCUGGUGUAUUUUAUAUAUUUAUGAAAAGUGAGUUUGUGUAGAUAUUGUGCAUGAGAUCUCACAGAAGCAGCAGCUUGGGACUAAUAGUAAAUAAUGUAGACGGUUUCUAGUUUUGUCAGUUUAUUUGGGCAAAAGGAUUCAAAAUGACAUUUAUAUUUAUAUGUUAUAAAAAGUAUUUUUGGACUUCAUAUAUCAGAAAAAUAUAACAAAUUUGAAACUUUGGAUGUCAGAAAAGUAUAAUAAAUCUGUAGCCCACUUACAGAAACUUAUAUAAAAAAUAAUGAUUUAUUCUUUUGUUAAAAAUUAUUUAGUACUGGCUGGGCAUGAUAGCUCAUGCCUGUAAUCCCAGAGCUUUAGGAGGCUGAGGCAUUAGGAUCACUUGAAGCCAGGAAUUCAAGACCAGCCUGGGCAACAUAGUGAGACCCUGUCUCUACAAAAAAAAUUAAUAAAUUAGCCAGACAUGGUGGUACACACCUGUAGACCCAGCAACUUGAGAGGCUAAGGUGGGAGGAUCACUUGAGCCUAGGAGUUCAAGGUUACACACAUGCACACAUACAAAAAAAUAAAAUAAAGAAAUAAAAAUUAUUUAGUACUAACUCCAAAGGGAGGAAGAGUGAAUACAAAAAUCUUUUAUUGGACCUAGGUCUAAUAAUUUUUAAAGUAUAAAAGUUUGUUUUGGAAAAUACCUAUCAGUUUUUCUUUCAGAAGUGGAGAAUUGAGGCAAUCAUCCACACAUUUUAGGCCCUCAAACUAUCAGGAAAAGGGCAGGAAGAGAUAGGGGUGGGGAAGAGGGGGAAAGUAAGAUUUUGAGCUGAAUCUCUUAUUUUAACUAGAAUCUAAGAAUAAAGAUGAGUCAGUUCUCCACUUAAUUUAGGGGUCAGGAUUCCAAACUCUAGAAAAUAGAUAGUUUAAGCCAUUUUGGGAUUGUGUUCACAGAACAGCUGACCAGUUUCUGAAGCGUUCCUUAGAAAUGAGGGAGCGAGUUCUAGGACCAGAUCACCCUGACUGUGCUCAGUCUUUGAAUAAUCUGGCAGCUCUAUGCAAUGAAAAGAAACAGUAUGAUAAAGCAGAAGAACUUUAUGAAAGAGCUUUAGAUAUUCGGAGACGUGCAUUAGCUCCUGAUCACCCUUCUUUGGCAUAUACGGUGAAGCAUCUUGCCAUCUUGUAUAAGAAAAUGGGGAAACUUGACAAAGCUGUACCUUUGUAUGAAUUGGCUGUUGAAAUUCGACAGAAAUCUUUUGGCCCAAAGCACCCUAGUGUAGCUACUGCCUUGGUGAACUUAGCUGUUCUUUAUAGCCAAAUGAAAAAACACGUUGAAGCUUUGCCAUUGUAUGAAAGAGCAUUAAAGAUUUAUGAAGAUAGCCUGGGUCGGAUGCAUCCUCGAGUUGGAGAAACACUGAAAAAUUUAGCUGUGCUUAGCUAUGAAGGAGGAGAUUUUGAAAAAGCUGCUGAAUUAUACAAAAGGGCAAUGGAAAUAAAAGAAGCAGAAACAUCACUCUUGGGUGGAAAAGCUCCUUCAAGCCAUUCAUCAAGUGGAGACACGUUUAGCUUAAAAACAGCUCAUUCUCCUAAUGUUUUCCUUCAGCAAGGACAAAGGUAAUAGCAGCAGUUAGAAUUCUUUGCAAAUGUACCUUAAGACAAAAUAAUUAAACAUUUGGAACAUUUAAAUUUGAAACUUUAAAAAAAAGUUGUACGAAAUUUUACUAUGUGUGAUUUAACUGCUAUUUGUAUGAAGUUGUAUUGGACUACAUUAAGUUGGAAUUGUGAUUAUGUCUGUUUUAGUUGUUUAAAAGAAUUUUCCUAUUAUAUGGUAUCCAAGGAUGUAGACACAUUAGAAUUAUAAGAUGACAUGAGGAGCAAAUCAUGAAGAGCGGAUUGGUCUUUGUUCAACAAGAGCUGGCAGAGUAGUCAAGACAAGGAGUUCAAAAAUUCCAUGAAUCUUGGCCAGGCAUGGUGGCUCAUGCCUGUAAUCCCACCACUUUGGGAGGGUGAUGCAGGAGGAUCACUUGAGGCCAGGAGUUCGAGACCAGCCUGGCCAACAUGGUGAAACCCUGUCUCUACUAAAAAUACAAAAAAAAAUUAGCUGGACCUGGUGGCGCAUGCCUGUAAUCCUAGCUACUCAGGAGGCUGAGGCAUGAGAAUCGCUUGAACUCAGCAAGUGGAGGUUGCUAUGAGCUGAGAUUGUGCCAGUUCAUUCCAUCCUGGGCAACAGGGUGAGACUCUGUCUCAAAAAAAAAAAAAAAAAAAAAAAAAGAAUUCCAUGAUUCUUUUGAGCUCUCAAGAGCUACUUUAGCCUUGCCAUUCCUCUUGCUUUUCAGCAGUAGUCUGGCCCAAUUCUCUACCUCAAAGGAAAGUUUCAAGGAUUAAAGGGUUAAUGUUUAUGAACGAUUCAAAUUGUCUUCAGUGAAACACAUUAGUCACAAGAAUCCCUGAUUGCUGCACUUUAAAAAAUUCUUUACCUUUUCCUUGAGCAGAUUGGUCCAGUCCCUCUGCUUUCUGUUCUGUCUACAUUGUGUAUUAUUUAUUACUAUAUAGUAUAUGUAUCUGCAUGUCUGAAGUCAUUAAUGCAGUAACAGGUCAAGCUCUUUAGCAUUCUUUGACUUUUCCCAAAAUAUAGAUAUGACAUUCUCCUUUAUCUUCCUUCUUAGAUGGCCUAAAUCUGUCUCUUCAUUUACCUCAAACUCAAAUUAGUAUGCCAUUUUCAUACUGAAAAUUAAAUAUUUUUAUGGAUUUUAAAAAUAUUGCAACAUUUUAGAUAUUGUUUUGGACCAUUUGUGUAUUUAUAUAUAAUAAAAUCAUCAAUUUAAUACUUGUAAGAUCCUAACAUGUAUUAAUUGUAAAAGUGAAAUAUGUAAUAGCCACACUUCACUGUUUUAAAAUAAAAGUGCAAUUUCAAGUUC